rnacentral:sRNA from 1 species
GGACAAGCAAUGCUUGCCUUAAAGAUAAACUUUUGGAUUAACUAUUCAGGAGGUUAAUUAUGGCAC